GGCUCUAUAGUGUUGUGGUUAGCACAUUUGCUUUGCACACAGAAGGUCCUGGGUUCGGGCCCCAGGUGGAUUCA
rnacentral:tRNA from 1 species